rnacentral:rRNA from 1 species
GACGAACCGUGCGAACGUUUGUUCGGAAUCACUGGGGCUUAAAAGGGCGCGUAGGCGGCUCGCGAGGUCGGGGGGUGAAAGCCCGCAGCUUAACUGCGGAAGGGCCUUCGAUACCGGCGAGCUCGAGGAAGGUAGGGGUGCGCGGAACUUCUGGUGGAGCGGUGAAAUGCGUUGAUAUCAGAAGGAACGCCGGCGGCGAAAGCGGCGCACUGGACCUUUUCUGACGCUGAGGCGCGAAAGCCAGGGGAGCAAACGGG